CCUACGGUGAGCUGCAGUGAGGAAUAUUGGUCAAUGGCCGAAAGGCUGAACCAGCCAAGUCGCGUGAGGGAAGACGGCCCUACGGGUUGUAAACCUCUUUUGUCGGGGAGCAAAGCGAGUCACGUGUGACUCAUUGAGAGUACCCGAAGAAAAAGCAUCGGCUAACGCCGUGCCAGCAGCCGCGGUAAUACGGAGGAUGCGAGCGUUAUCCGGAUUUCUUGGGUUUAAAGGGUGCGCAGGCGGAGGUGUAAGUCAGCGGUCAAAUUGCGGGGCGCAACCCCGUACUGCCGGUGAAACGGCAUCCCUUGAGUGCGCGAGAGGUAUGCGGAAUGCGUGGUGUAGCAGUGAAAUGCAUAGAUAUCACGCAGAACUCCGGUUGCGAAGGCAGCAUACCGGCGCGCAACUGACGCUCAUGCACGAAAGCGUGGGUAUCGAACAGGAUUAGAUACCCUGGUAGUC
rnacentral:rRNA from 1 species